CCGAGUUCGGCGCGCUGCUGGCGGCGGCGCUCGGCUGCUCGCUCCGGGGGAACUCGGGCGCAGCCCGUCGUGCUUUCGGUUUCGAGGGGCGCGGGCGCGGGCAACAAACACACUCGUAAACUUCGGGAUUCCUAGCGGCACGUUUUGGAGGCGCGCGGGAAUGGCGGCGCAGGGACGGAGCCCCAGGGUGGGCUUUGGUUGGUUUUAUUCUGAGUAGAAUAAACUUCAAGGAAUGAGUGGCACGGGCAGCAGCACCGCUUUUCUUCCUCACAACUCACCCAGGAAGGAAGUUUGUGGAAAUUCGCGUCUGUACCGCGCCACGCCACAGGCAGGGAGUGUGGUACAGGUGGCCCUCCCGCUGGCUGCGGGCACCACACCUGCUGGCUGCACGGCCUCAGGGGCAGCGAGGGCCUUGUUCCCACGACCGCUUGGGCACUUGGAAGUUUAGUAGGUUCUCUUCGUUGUUCUGCGGUGCUCUCCCUCCGUUCUGCGCACAGGAGAUUCCGUUUGUCCUGUCACCUCCUUUCCCAGGACUGCCACGGCGUUCCCCACCACCCAGGACCUCGAACCCGCCACAGAGCCAAGGCUCAGGUGUUCCGCAGUCGGGGAGCCGGGGGCCCGAGCGCAAUCCGGCGGCCACGCCCUGGUUCCUACAGCGUAGGCGGCUGCCUUUGACCAAGAACUUCUGUCAUCCGGGAGACUUCACAGUUUCACCUUACUGUUGGGACCUCGCCGACUGGCUCGUCGCCCGCUGGGUCACAAGAAACCAACAGUCAUUUCAUGAGCAGCCCUUUGAGAGGCCCAUGUGGUGAAGAGCACCCAACAAGGAACUGAGGUCCCGGAUGAGCAAACUUGGUAAUGGAUCCUCCUGCCCAGUCGAACCUUCUGAUAACUGUAGCCAACAUCUUGACUACAACCUUAUAAGAGACCCUGAACCGGAACCACCAGCCAAGCUCUGAUUUCCUGACCCUCAGAAACUAUAGAAGGUGGGGGAGGGACAGAGGAAGAAGGAGAGAGAAUCUCAAGCAGACUCAAGCUGAGCUCCGAGGCUGAUGCUGGUGAUCCCACGACCCUGAGAUCAUGACAUGAGCCGAAAUCAAGAAUCUGACAUUCAACCCACUGGGCCACCCAGGUGCCCCCAAUAUUUGUUACUUUUUGAACAGCCAUUCCUGUUUUGAUUUCAGGCAAGGUAGAUGCCUCUCCCUGUCCCAGGGGACAAAUUAUUAUUGGUCUAAGGUGAUUAUCAUGUCAUCCAUUAUGCCAAUAAUGAGUUUGGGCAGGAAUAAGUGAUCCAGUUCUGGCCAGUGAGAGAUAAGGAAAGUUGGGUGGGGGUUCUGAAAAAGAUGUUCGUUCUGGAUAAAAAAACAAAGCCUAGGGAAGUGAAAAGCUUGUACUAUUCCUUCCUUUUUUCUCCUUGCCUUCAAUGAGAUGGUGUGAAGGUGAAAUUAUUGGAGCUGUGUUAGCCAUCCUGUGACCAUGAGGGGACAAGCCUAGGGAUAAUCAGCUAACGCCCAAAGGUGUCAGAAGGGUAAAUUAGAGAGAGACCUUGCCCUUAAAGACCUUAGUGAGCCACGGCCAACCAGAAACCACACACCUCCAAUCUGCUUCUCAUGCAAGCAAAUGAACAUGUCUUUAAAUAGAAGCCACUGGCUCUCGGAGUGACAGGAACACCCGGGAAUUUGUUGGAAAUGCAAAUUCUCGAGCCUCACCCCAACUUCUUGAAUGCACACUUGGGUUGGGUGAUCUGAGGCAGAACCAGGUUUUAGAGUCUCCGUUAUCACAGGAGGGUUUCUGCCAAAGCACUCCUGACCCAAAGCAUUCCCGAGGGCCCCUACGGUACAUGUGGAAUGCAUGAAGGUCUCCACAGUAUUCCUGCAAAGGCACUUCCUCAGUUGAUUCCCCACCUUUGGCUUGAUUUCUUAACUCUUACCUCUUUCUCUAGGGUAUACUUGUUGUCUUCUUGUAUUUAAAGAGGCAUAUCAGUUGUUGUGUGGAACCCUGAAACUGCCUCCUCCUAAGGUGUGCCUUGUCCUGAAGAGAAUCUUUACUUUGACUUUACCAGAAAUCUUUCACUUCCUAGCAUCAUUCUAACACCCUUUUAUUUCAACAUCACUUGAAUGCUUCAAAGUCCAGGUUACUUUUAAACCCCUUUUUUUCUUUUCUUUUCUUUUAUCUUCUUUUAUUUUAUUUUCUAUUGAAGUAUAAUUAACAUGCAGUGAUACUAGUUUCAGGCAUACAAUAUAAUGAUUCAACAAUUCUGUACAUUACUCAGUGCUCAAGAUAAGUGUACUCUUGAUCUCCUUCACCUAUGUCACCCGUCCCCCAACCCACCUCCCCUCUGGCCACCACCAGUUUGUUCUCCAUACUUAGGAGUCUGUUUUUUCGUUUGUCUCUUUUUUAAUUUCUUUGUUCAUUUGUUUGUUUCUUAAAUUCCACAUAUGAGUGAAAUCGUAUGGUAUUUGUCUAUCUCUGUCUGACUUAUUUCACUUAGCAUUAUACCCUCUAGAUCCAUCCAUGUUGUUACAAAUGGCAAGAUCUCAUUCUCUUUAAUGGCUGAGUCAUAUUCCAUUGUGUCUAUAUACCACAUCUUUAUCCAUUCAUCUAUGGGUUGCUCUUAUAUCUUGGCUAUUGUAAGUCAUGCUGCAAUAAACAUAAGGGUGUGUAUAUAACUUCAAAUUAGUGUUUUCCUAUUCUUUGGGUGACUACCCAGUAGUGAAAUUACUGGAUCAUAGGGCAGUUCUAUUUUUAAUUUUUUGAGGAAACUCCAUCCUGUUUUCCACAGUGACUGCACCAGUUUGCAUUCCUACUAACAGCACACCCGGAUUCCUUUUUUUCCACAUCCUCAGUAAAAUGUCAUUUCUUAUCUUUUUGAUUUUAGUUAUUCUUUUUUUUUUUUUAAGAUUUUAUUUAUUUAUUUGACAGAGAGAGACAUACCGACAGCAGGAACACAAGCCAGGGGAGUGGGAGAGGGAGAAGCAGGCUUCCUGCAGAGCAGGGAGCCCGAUGUGGGACUCGAUCCCAGGACCCUGGGAUCAUGACCUGAGCCGAAGGCAGACGCUUAACGACUGAGCCACCCAGGCGCCCUGAUUUUAGUUAUUCUGACAGGUGUGAAGUGAAACUCAUUGUGCUUUGGAUUUGCAUUUCCCUGAUUAUGAGUGAUGUUGCACACUUUUCAUUUGUCUGUUGGCCAUCUGUAGGUCUUCUUUGGAAAAAUGUCUGUUCAGGUCUUCUGCUCAUUUUUCGUCAGAUUAUUGGAGUUUUUUUGGUGUUGAGUUGUAGAAGUUCUUUAUAUAUUUUGGAUAUAACCCCUUAUUGACUAUAUCAUUUGCAAAUAUCUUCUCCAUUCAGUAGAUUGCCUUGUCACUGUGCAAAAGCUUUUUUUUUUUUUUUAAAGAUUUUAUUUAUUUAUUUGACAGAGACAGCGAGAGAGGGAAUACAAGUAGGGGGAGUGGGAGAGGGAGAAGCAGGCUUCCCGCUGAGCAGGGAGCCCAAUGUGGGGCUUGAUCCCAGGACCCUGGGAUCAUGACCUGAGCCAAAGGCAGCCGCUCAACCGACUGAGCCACCCAGGGGCCCCUGUGCAAAAGCUUUUAAUUUUGGUAUAGUCACACAGUUUAAUUUUGCUUCUGUUUCCCUUGCCAGAGAAGACAUCUUAAAAAAUGUUUCUACUGCUGAUGUCAGAGAAAUGAUUGCCUGUGUUUUCUUCUAGGAGUUUUAUAAAUUCUUUAACCCAUUUUGAGUUUAUUUUCAUGUAUGGUGUAAGAAAGUGGUCCAGUUUCAUUCUUUUGCAUGUUGCUGUCCAGUUUUCCCAGCACCAUUUGUUGAAGAGACUGUCUUUUCCCCAUUGCAUAUUCUUGCCUCCUUUGCCAUAGAUUAAUUGACCAUAUAUGCAAGGGUUUAUUUCUGGGCUCUCUAUUCUUUUUUUUUUUUUUAAAAGAUUUUAUUUAUUUAUUUGAGAGAGAGAGAAUGAGAGACAGAGAGCAUGAAAGGGAGGAGGGUCAGAGGGAGAAGCAGACUCCCUGCCGAGCAGGGAGCCCGAUGCGGGACUCGAUUCUGGGACUCCAGGAUCAUGACCUGAGCCGAAGGCAGUCACUUAACCAACUGAGCCACCCAGGCGCCCUGGGCUCUCUAUUCUGUACCAUGCAUCUGUGUGUCUGUUUUUAUGCCAGUACCAUACUGUUUUGAUUACUACAACAUUAUUCUAACGCCCCUUUGUUUCAACAUCAGUUAAAUGCUUCAACAUCCAGGUUACUUUAACACCCAUUCUUUAUCUCAGUUAUAUUAUGAAGAAAUAUAGCAUAGAUUUUCAUUAUUUAAAUUAGUGAUCAUAUUAUCACUAAACACCAUCAACACUAGGAUAUAUUUUCUCAUCUGAAGGUGAGAAUGAAAAGCCAUCUGUUUGCUUACAUUGGGGAUUACCAAAUACUUGCCAGACACUUUUUUUAUUUUUAUUUUUAAAGAUUUUAUUUAUUUACUUGACAGAGAGAGCACGAGUGGCGUGAAGGGGGAGAGAGAGAAGCAGACUCCCCGCUGAGCAGGGAGCCCCAUGUGGGACUCGAUCCCAGGACUCUGGGAUCAUGACCUGAGCCAAAGGCAGAGCCACCCAGGCGCCCCUCACCCCCCUUUUCUUUUGCCAGACACUUUUAGAUACCUGAGCAUGCCAUUCUUCUGGAUUUCAAAUAACACAGUUGGUGGCUGAGCAUGUGUGAAGUUAACCAACCCUGACUCUCCCAAAAUUGUUUGUGGUGAGGCUCUUUCAGACAGCUGUGGAUCAUAGAUACCAUAAAGACAUGUGAGGGGACACGGGACAAAGGGCAGGGGAAAGGAGCUUGUAAUGCCUCUGCCUUCUAUCCCCCAGCUCUCGGGGAGCCAAGUACUGGGAAGUCUCAGUGGGCAUUUUGCCAGGGACACUUGGCUUCUUCCAGUGGGGCUCUUUACUCCCUGCUCCCCUUUUUCCGACCUCAUCUUUUGUUUUCCAACUUUAUUAGAGACAAAUUUUGUUUUAUGGAGCACUGUGGCAAUGUCACUUCACUGUGAGAAGCAUUUUACAUGUGUUAUCUCAUUUCAUUCAUUUUAUCUAACUUCCCCCAUUCCUCUUUUAGUUCUUCAUUCUUCAAGUGUUCAGCCUCUAUCUUGUUUCCCUUACAUUGCCUUUAUAUUUCCAUUAAAAAUAUUCUUGCUUUUUCAUCCUUUUGAAUUUUUGCUUAUUCCCAGUUUAGUUGAGGAUUUUUUAAAUCUAUGUUCGUGUUUUUAUUUUAUUUUACGUGUGGUAGCUUUUAAUUUUUAUCUUAUAAUUAGAUGUGAUCGUUGGAUCUUGUGACAGCUUGUUUUCACUACAUUUGUAGUUUAACCUUUAUAUUUUAAUUUCUACAUUUUAGUUUUUCUUAAUUUUCUCCCUUCCUUGUGAUAUUUUACUUUAAAUUGUUCAUUUGUCCUUAGGGAUAUUUAUUUUACUUUGUGUUUUUGGCUAGUAAGAAAUAUGGCCUCAGGAAGAGGCAGUGAGGAAAGAAAGAACACAUUCUCGGUCUCCAUGGGCUUCACACCGAGGAGAGGGACAGUCUAACAAAAGGCAGGGUCUUUCUGCAGCCACUCAGAAUGGGGGCUCAGACUAAACUGGUUGGAUUUUAUUUUAAUUUUUAAAAAUAUUUUAUUUAUUUAUUUGAGAGAGGGCACACCCAUAGGCACAAAAGCAGGGGGAAUGGGAGGGGAGAGGAGAGAGAGGGGGAGGGAAACAGGCAGACUCCCACUGAGUCGGGAGCUGGACAGCGGGCUCCAUCCCAGGAUCCUGAGAUUAUGACCUGAGCCAAAGUCAGAUGCUUAACUCACUGAGCCCCCCAAGCACCCCUAAACUGGUUAGAUAUUAAAGGGCAGGGUCAGCUUAGAAAACUGUCAAACAAGGGGACAUCCAGAUUAUAUAUAUCAGAUAUAUGUUGGGUGACCAUAUAAUUUGUCAUCCAAACACAGACACUUGUGAAAAUGAGAAAAGGAACCAUUAAACAUGAUGCAGGGAUACCAGGCCUGCAGAAGCUGUCCUGGGUAGCUUACCUAUGUAAAAGAAAUAUGUGUGAAAGUUUAAACCCAAAUGAAUUAGUAUCGGAUCUGCACCUGGUAGACAUUCAUUUUUUUAAAGAUUUAUUUAUUUAUUUGAAAGCGAGAGAGAGCAUGAGAGUGAGUCUGGGGGAAGAGCGGAGGGAGAGAAUUUCAGGCAGGCCCCCCACUGAGCAGGGAGUCCCACUGGGGCUUGAUCCCUGGACCCAUGAGAUCGCAACCUGGGCCUAAACCAAGAGUCAGACGCUUAACCGACUGAGCCACCCAGGUGCCCAUAGACAUUUAUUGAAUGAUCAACUACAUUAACAUGAAGGAUUAUAUCAAUUUAAAUGUAAAUCAAAAUACAAUUCCUGAUCCGUGAAACACUUUCAUGCUGGGUCAAUUAAGAAAGUCCAGACAGGAAAUUGUAGCAGCCUUCACACCGCACCUCAAGUACCUGGUAUGCGUUUCGGAUUAUGCUAACCACGAAAUAGUCCAUAAAUAUUAAUCUCUCUCUCUCUUUUUAGCAUCAGCAACAAUUUAAAUUUCAUUUCAUCAGGCUGUGGACAGUGAAGGUGAUUCUGAUGUUUUGCCUCUAGAUCUGGGAAGGUAAUGAUUCCAUUAAGUGAAGGAGGUCCAUAGAGGAAGGACAAAAUGCUGAGUCUCAGGAACCUGUGGGGCAUUCGAGAAGGGAGGGCAAGCAGACAAUAGGGUAUUAAAAUCUGGAGCUCAGGGGGCAGAUCCAGGCAAAAGAUAAAGAUUAUUGAAUGAAUGGCUUAGGCAAAUGCCACAGCGUCACCCAGGGCAGGCGGGAAUUGCAGGCAGAGGGGUGGCCCCACCCUGAUGCCCGUGUCCUCUUGCAUCAUCCCAUGGUAUACUUUGCAGGACCCAGCUGGAUGGAUACAUUGUGAGCUGAGCCCUACUGCUCAAAACAAUGCUUUUCAAAGGUGAGAGUAAGAGCAGUGUUGCCAGCAGACGGAAAAGAGUCUAGCUUGGGUGUCAGGGAGGUUGCCUACUCACACUGAAUUUUUCCUUUUGUUUUUGCAAUAUAGUUUAAGGAGGUAAAUGAGUUGUUCAGUUUUGUGUGAGGUACCUUUAAUUACAUGAGUUUUCAUUUGAGGGAGAAACUUCAAGUACCAACUUUGUUUUUAAGACUGAAAAUAUGUAUUUUAAAUUUUCUUCUGAGUAAAAAAGCAGACCAAGCAAAGAAACAAUAAACUAAAUGGCUUUAAUAGUAUCCUUCUCCCUCGGUUUUAGUUUUUGUUAAAGAACAAUGCAAUAGUAGGAUGAAGAGAGGGUUGGCAAUUAUAUUCUAUCAAACUGUAAGAACAGGCAGACAUUUUUCAUUUUUUUACAAAAAAAGUAACAGGAAGAGAAAUUAAUAUGCAAAUGAAUAUAAAGGCGUUGGAUUAUCAUAAAUCUACAAAGACCUUUAGGUGUUAGGAGAAAUUUCCAGAAUUUUCAUUCCACUUACCACACUGAAUUUAAGCCCAAACAAAUUUUUUAGAGAAUACAAUACACAGUUUUACCAAGCUGUGCUCACAAGGCCUACGGAGAAAAAAAAGAAAGCUUACCAACCUCUAGUGGUUGACUCACAAUUUCUCUUUGUUAGUACAUUGAUGAAAAUUAAUUGGGUUAGAUCACAGGAAGAUCUACUUUGUGUAUUUUCAGCUUCCCUUUCUGAUUUUUGGUCCACUUUUGACAGACCCCCCAAUUCCACUCUGCACUUCUGGUAGCCUGGGGUUCUCUUGCUUUCUGACCCACCUUUUAUCUUAGGAAGAAGUCAUCCUUUCUCCCUUUCUUUUUAUUUUAAAUCUAAAAUUCAUUCCUGCUACUAGAUUAUUCCUUCCAAAAAUAUUUCCUAUAAGCCUCUUGUCUCUUAUCAAGAAGGAAAGGGUUGCUCAUCACCAUGUUCACAUCCUCCAGUGUGUUCUUCUGCGGGUCCAUUUUCCACGUAGCACUGAGACUCUUAGCGGCAUGAAGAGCGCAACUUUUGCUAAUGAAGCUUUUUGGAAAUGAGAACUUGUUGCAGAGUUACUUCAAAUAUCGAUAAUGGUCAAUGCGGGGUGCCAAACACAAGAAGCUCCCCUAGGGAUGAGUUACAACAUUAAAAGAGCAGGCACUCUCUUCCCUUUCCCGGAGAGUUUUACUUUCUCCUGGGGAAGUGCAUGUUUUAACAUCUUGCCACUUAGGAACAUUUCUUGUUUGACAGGUUUCUUGGAUUACAAAAUAGGGAUGGAGAUUAUGAAAAGAAACCGUGUUCCCUCAUCUCUGCCCUUUUAAGGGUGCAUUAGACCAGGGUAAACCA